AAUGAACGUUGGCGGCGUGGAUUAGGCAUGCAAGUCGAGCGAGAACCCAGCAAUGGGGGACAGCGGCGCAAGGGACAGUAAUGUGUAGAUCAUCUGCCCUCAGGCCUGGGAUAGCUGCGGGAAACUGCAGGUAAUACCGGAUAACAUCUCCGGAUCAAAGGUGUGAUUCCGCCUGAGGAUGAGUCUACAUCCUAUUAGCUAGUUGGCAGGGUAACGGCCUACCAAGGCGAUGAUGGGUAGCGGGUGUGAGAGCACGACCCGCGUCAUUGGGACUGAGACACUGCCCAGACACCUACGGGUGGCUGCAGUCGAGAAUCUUCGGCAAUGGGCGCAAGCCUGACCGAGCGACGCCGCGUGCGGGAUGAAGGCCUUCGGGUUGUAAACCGCUGUCGGAGGGGAUGAAAUACAGGUGGGUUCUCCCAUCUGUUUGACAUAGCCUCAGAGGAAGGACGGGCUAAGUUCGUGCCAGCCGCCGCAGUAAGAC
rnacentral:rRNA from 1 species